rnacentral:rRNA from 1 species
UACGAAGGGGGCGAGCGUUGUUCGGAUUUACUGGGCGUAAAGGGCGCGUAGGCGGCGCGGAUAGUCGGCGGUGAAAGCCCGGAGCUCAACUCCGGGUCGGCCGUCGAUACUUCCGGGCUUGAGCACUGUAGAGGCAGAUGGAAUUCCGGGUGUAGCGGUGGAAUGCGUAGAGAUCCGGAAGAACACCGGUGGCGAAGGCGGUCUGCUGGGCAGUUGCUGACGCUGAUGCGCGACAGCGUGGGGAGCAAACAGG